rnacentral:rRNA from 1 species
GGACGGGUGAGUAAUGCCUAGGAAUCUGCCUGGUAAAGGGGGAUAACGUUCGGAAACGAACGCUAAUACCGCAUACGUCCUACGGGAGAAAGCAGGGGACCUUCGGGCCUUGCGCUAUCAGAUGAGCCUAGGUCGGAUUAGCUAGUUGGUGAGGUAAUGGCUCACCAAGGCGACGAUCCGUAACUGGUCUGAGAGGAUGAUCAGUCACACUGGAACUGAGACACGGUCCAGACUCCUACGGGAGGCAGCAGUGGGGAAUAUUGGACAAUGGGCGAAAGCCUGAUCCAGCCAUGCCGCGUGUGUGAAGAAGGUCUUCGGAUUGUAAAGCACUUUAAGUUGGGAGGAAGGGCAGUUACCUAAUACGUGAUUGUUUUGACGUUACCGACAGAAUAAGCACCGGCUAACUCUGUGCCAGCAGCCGCGGUAAUACAGAGGGUGCAAGCGUUAAUCGGAAUUACUGGGCGUAAAGCGCGCGUAGGUGGUUUGUUAAGUUGGAUGUGAAAUCCCCGGGCUCAACCUGGGAACUGCAUUCAAAACUGACUGACUAGAGUAUGGUAGAGGGUGGUGGAAUUUCCUGUGUAGCGGUGAAAUGCGUAGAUAUAGGAAGGAACACCAGUGGCGAAGGCGACCACCUGGACUAAUACUGA